rnacentral:tRNA from 1 species
AUUUCUCUAGUACUAAGUUAGUACGAAUGACUUCCAAUCAUUUAGUCUUGGUUAAAAUCCAAGGAGGAAUA